rnacentral:rRNA from 1 species
UCAUACUGUGAAACUGCGAAUGGCUCAUUAAAUCAGUUAUCGUUUAUUUGAUAGUACCUUUACCUGGAUAACCGUGGUAAUUCUAGAGCUAAUACAUGCUAAAAACCUCGACUUCGGAAGGGGUGUAUUUAUUAGAUAAAAAACCAAUGCCCUUCGGGGCUCCUUGGUGAUUCAUAAUAACUUAACGAAUCGCAUGGCCUUGCGCCGGCGAUGGUUCAUUCAAAUUUCUGCCCUAUCAACUUUCGAUGGUAGGAUAGUGGCCUACCAUGGUCUUAACGGGUAACGGGGAAUUAGGGUUCUAUUCCGGAGAGGGAGCCUGAGAAACGGCUACCACAUCCAAGGAAGGCAGCAGGCGCGCAAAUUACCCAAUCCCAAUACGGGGAGGUAGUGACAAUAAAUACUGAUACGGGGCUCUUUCGGGUCUCGUAAUUGGAAUGAGUACAAUCUAAAUCCCUUAACGAGGAACAAUUGGAGGGCAAGUCUGGUGCCAGCAGCCGCGGUAAUUCCAGCUCCAAUAGCGUAUAUUAAAGUUGUUGCCGUUAAAAAGCUCGUAGUUGAACCUUGGACCUGGCUGAUCUGUCCUCCUAAUCGAGCGCACGGAUUCGGUCGGGUCUUUCCUUCUGGGGAGCCCUAUGCCCUUCACUGGGUGUAGUGGGGAACCAGGACUUUUACCUUGAAAAAAUUAGAGUGUUCAAAGCAGGCCUUUGCUCGAAUACAUUAGCAUGGAAUAAUAGAAUAGGGACAUCGGUUCUAUUUUGUUGGUUUCUAGGACCGCUGUAAUGAUUAAUAGGGAUAGUCGGGGGCGUCAGUAUUCAAUUGUCAGAGGUGAAAUUCUUGGAUUUAUUGAAGACUAACUACUGCGAAAGCAUUCGCCAAGGAUGUUUUCAUUAAUCAGUGAACGAAAGUUAGGGGAUCGAAGACGAUCAGAUACCGUCGUAGUCUUAACCAUAAACUAUGCCGACUAGGGAUCGGACGGUGGUUUUUUUAUGCCCCGUUCGGCACCUUACGAGAAAUCAAAGUUU